rnacentral:tRNA from 1 species
GGGAGGGCAGGGGUCUGGUGGCCCAGCUGGUCUUCAAAACCGGUAGGCGGCGGUAACCCCGUCGUUGGUAGGUUCGAUUCCUACGCCUUCCCGCCA